GGGCCGUUAGCUUAGUUGGCAGAGCGCCACAUUUGCAAUGUGGAGGUCGGGAGUCCGAAUCUCCCACGGUCCA
rfam:Parcubacteria (Nomurabacteria) bacterium GW2011_GWA1_46_11 TX31_C0042, whole genome shotgun sequence.